CAGAGUUCGUGCCCUCACGGGUAGAUCUCCCACCCUGUGUUAUUAUACCUUUGUUGCUUUGGCGGGCCGCCCUCGGCUACCGGACCGGCCCCGGCUGGUACGCGCCCGCCAGAGGACCCCAAACUCUGAAUGUUAGUGUCGUCUGAGUACUAUACAAUAGUUA
rnacentral:misc_RNA from 1 species